rnacentral:rRNA from 1 species
UACGUAGGGUGCGAGCGUUAAUCGGAAUUACUGGGCGUAAAGUGUGCGCAGGCGGCCGAGCAAGUCGAGUGUGAAAGCCCCGAGCUUAACUUGGGAACUGCGCUCGAAACUACUUGGCUAGAGUGUGGCAGAGGGAGGUGGAAUUCCACGUGUAGCGGUGAAAUGCGUAGAGAUGUGGAGGAACACCGAUGGCGAAGGCAGCCUCCUGGGCCAACACUGACGCUCAUGCACGAAAGCGUGGGUAGCAAACGGG